GAGAGAAGAAACACAUUCAGCUCUACUACAUUUCAGGCAGGGAGACCCACACAGCGAUCCCCAAUGCCUGGCAGUGAUAACCAGAAGAGACCCAGGUUCCUUGGACUUGGCCAGAGAUCUUCAUACAGACAGAGAGAACACUGAGGUCAGCCAGGUGGACCACUUGGGAAAUCUGUGCAAAGGAAACUGACAUUUAAGGAAAGGAAGAGAGAGAGAGAGAGAGAAAGAGAGACAAGGGGUAAACAUCUGGAGAGAAAGUCUAAGUGUGGGCCACAUGUUUGGCUGUACCUGGAUGGUGAGAAAAUUCUGGUAGAAGAAGUCAAUAGCCACUAUGGCUGGUAAUCAGGACAUCUUGAGGCUGCUUCAAUAUGGAAAAAAUAAUUCUCUGAAUGGACAUUAGGGUGAUAUUAGAAAGGAAAAAUGGGAUGACUACUGGGAAGGGAUUUAGGCUUGUGAGAGAGUUUUAUGUAUUUAACAUGGAAGUAUCCAGCUGGGCACAAUG